GGUAAAAUGGCUGAGUAAGCAUGAGACUGUAAAUCUAAAGACAGAGGUCAAGGCCUCUUUUUUACCA
rnacentral:tRNA from 1 species